AUGUUUCUGAGCGGAAGGGGCGGGGCAAGGGGAGAAGAUGAACGGGGGGAGGGGAGGGAUGCCCUUUGCAUCCAGCGCGCCUGCGCAAACCAGUUGUGUGGGAGCUCACGCCUUCAUGCUUUCCCUCGCUUGGGCUGGCGCGUGCGGUGUCGUCGGCCUCGCCUCGCCUCGGCGNUGACCUGCAGGGAGGCGGGUGUCGAAUGGCAGCAAACGAGUGUGAGGCUAGGGUUGAGCAGAAGGAGUGGGGACAUGGGCGGAGCUUGCAUGUUUCUGAGCGGAAGGGGCGGGGCAAGGGGAGAAGAUGAACAGGGGGGAGGGGAGGGAUGCCCUUUGCAUCCAGCGCGCCUGCGCAAACCGGUUGUGUGGGAGCUCACGCCUUCAUGCCUUCCCUCGCUUGGGCUGGCGCGUGCGGUGUCGUCGGCCUCGCCUCGCCUCGGCGGCGCCCGCCUGUUGGUUCUUUGUCGGCUUCCCAGCUGCCGUGUGACCCCCUGGGCCUGCAGCCCGGCCGCCACCUGGUCCACUUGCAGCCCCGCCGCCGCCGCCAGCGCCCCAAAUAGUCGUUGCGUCCUGAAAGCCGAUAAAGAAUUUCAGGAUGACGAACACGACCGUGGGAACAGCAGCGAGAGGGCAGACUUGGUGACGGAGAUCCGGACAUCGAGUGUAUUUUAUAGGAGUGAAUGCAUGCAUCUUAGUGACACCAGCAUUAGGAGGGUGUAG
rnacentral:lncRNA from 1 species